AGCUCUCCCUCAGACAAUUCCAGGAGCUCUGGGAAACAGUUCCAGGCCUUCUCUUUCCAUCUUUUACUUCCAUACCCUUCUCAUCCAGCUGUUGCCUCUUCUCCCUACCAGCAUUCAAACACCACUUGGCUUACCACCUUUCUCCUCCAUCAGCAACACAGCUCAGAUGGGAACUCCAUGACAUGACCCCUUCCUUCUGGCUGGAAGCUGGGCAGCAAUGCCGAACUUUAGCAGCUCUUGGUGCUGGAAUUCCAGGUAUACACCACCCUGUGUGGUUUCGCAGUGCCGGUGACCUAACCCAAGCAAUCCUUCACUUCACACACACGCUGCACAACUGCAGAAAAACCAGAGUCUGUGAAGAUAAGGGAAGCAUCGCAUUGAUACACAGAGGCCCCAGACAUCUCCUGCCUUUCCCCAGAUCUACAGCAGCCUACAGGCCCCUCCGAAAUGCCCGUCCUCCUCCAGCUAGUCUCUGCAUUCUGUGGAGGUUUCUCUACCUCUGCCCAAUAGCAACUCCUCUUUCCCAGCCUACCUGCUUCCAUACCUGGGCAGAACCUCAAACUCAGAGUUCCUAGAAACCAUUGCACCGGAGCUGAAGGACUUGUGAGGAAAAGCUGGCUUUCUUCCUGAUUACCAUCCCAUAGUAA